rnacentral:rRNA from 1 species
GAUGAACGCUAGCUACAGGCUUAACACAUGCAAGUCGAGGGGUAACGAGAGGAAAGCUUGCUUUCCUUGUCGACGACCGGCGCACGGGUGAGUAACGCGUAUCCAACCUGCCCCCAACUAGGGAAUAACCUUGCGAAAGUAAGACUAAUACCCUAUAAUUUCCUCAGAUGACAUCUGACGAGGAAUAAAGAUUUAUCGGUUGUGGAUGGGGAUGCGUCUGAUUAGCUUGUUGGCGGGGUAACGGCCCACCAAGGCAACGAUCAGUAGGGGUUCUGGGAGGAACGUCCCCCACGUUGGAACUGAGACACGGGCCAAACUCCUACGGGAGGCAGCAGUGAGGAAUAUUGGUCAAUGGCGGAAGCCUGAACCAGCCGAGUAGCGUGCAGGAUGACGGCCCUAUGGGUUGUAAAGUGCUUUCAUACAGGAAUAAAGUUAGCCACGUGUGGUUAUUUGUAGGUACUGUAUGAAUAAGGACCGGCUAAUUCCGUGCCAGCCGCCGCAGUAA